rnacentral:misc_RNA from 1 species
GUUCGGUUUUGAAAAAGAAUUUGGUAAAACCGAACCAAACCAAAUCUAUAAAACAGUGUGUUUUAGGUGGAGUUACUUAUGUCAUUUCUUCUCCUUCAGCAACUAAUCUGCUUCUCAAACAAAUGACGCUGCCCUCAUCAAAUCCCUUUGCCUCUGCUACUCACUUCUCAAACCCGUUUGGCCAUCUCCCUCACUCCCUUCCCUUGAAAUCUGUGCCUCUCGAAUUCUUAGAAAUCUUCUUUUUCCUUUAUCUCAGCAGUCCAUAUGUAAUUCUUCUCCAUUCCUCUUUGCUUCUUUGAUCUUCUCAGUCCACUUGCACUUCCUCUCCAGAAAUGACAGCAAAAACAUUGAAGCUGAUUGUUGGGACCUGUUUUAGAAAUGCGCAAGAAAAGGAAAAAGCCUUUGAUGGAUCUUUAUUAGAUUUCCUCAGAUCUUCUCUUCUAGAAAUUAGACACCAAAAUAUGUCAAGCCAAUGAGAAAGAGACUGAUGAGGGAUUUCAAGAGAUUCUAGGACGAUGGAGGUAGGUCAUUAUAUAUGUUUUUUCUCACAUUGUGUUUU